UACAGAGGGUGCGAGCGUUGUUCGGAAUUAUUGGGCGUAAAGCGCUUGUAGGCGGCACGUCAAGUCGCGUGUGAAAUCCCCAGGCUUAACCUGGGAAGUGCGCGCGAAACUGACGAGCUUGAGUGCCGUAGAGGGUCGCGGAAUUCCCGGUGUAGAGGUGAAAUUCGUAGAUAUCGGGAGGAACACCAGUGGCGAAGGCGGCGACCUGGACGGACACUGACGCUGAGACGCGAAAGCGUGGGGAGCAAACAGG
rnacentral:rRNA from 1 species